rnacentral:rRNA from 1 species
GAUUUCUGGUACGAUGCCCCUGAUCCGCCUCUUCGGAGUGUGAGUGUCGGUGUGGCGUCUGCCAUCUUUGUAGGUUCUGGCUUCGGGCCUUUAUUGGUCUGGGGUUUUUGAGUCUACAUCUUUUACUUUGAAAAAAUUAGAGUGUUUAAAGCAGGCUUUUUGCUAUGAAUACAUUAGCAUGGAAUAAUAAUAUAGGACUUCGGUUCUAUUUUGUUGGUUUCUAGUACUGAAGUAAUGAUUGAUAGGGAUAGUUGGGGGUGCUAGUAUUCAGCGGCCAGAGGUGAAAUUCUUGGAUUCGCUGAAGACUAACUUAUGCGAAAGCAUU